rnacentral:snoRNA from 1 species
GACCUCCCAGCAUCACAUCUGGAGAGUGACCAGUAUUAUAUUGCCAGCUUCAGAGAUUGAAGGGAGAGCAAGCCUGGCAGCGGUAUCUACCCCAUUCCCAGUUUGCUUAGUAGCUAGUAAAUCGAACAUAGUCUGUGGGCCAG